CAUCAUAAUCAUUUUCCAAGCAGAGAAAAGCAAAGAUUUCAUGCCAUGAGUAUCAAUCGAGUGAAAUGAAAGACGAGUCUACAACUUUAACAUAGUCUAGAAAAUAGAGAAAAAAUGUAAAAUUGCACACAAAAACACACUAAAAACAAUCUAAAACAGAAAAAAUUUAACACAUAAAACAAAGAACAAUCAGAAUCUCUCCCUAUAGACCACACUUAAACUACACAUUGUCCUCAAUGUGCUCUAAGCAUACAUCAGCAAUCAGGAAACAUAUUAUGGACAAGUGCAAUAAAAGGUAGGGAAAUGGGAAGAAAUUUUCAGUAACAUCCAUCAGUAGAUGUUAUCAUUGACAUCCAUCAGCAGAUGUCCAAAUCACCUAGCACCCAUCAGUAGAUGCUAAAAAAAUAAUUUUUUUUAUUUUUUAUUUUUUUUUAUUUUUUAUUUUUUAUUUUUUAUUUUUUUAUUAUUUUUUUUUAUUAAUUUUUAUUUUAUUUUAUUUUAUUUUAUUUUAUUUUAUUUUUUUUUUGAAAAAGGAGAAGACCGGUACUGUGGCAACAGUUUCGGUGGGAAUGACCGGCACUGUUGCUACAGUGGAAACAAUUUGCCUAUAAAUAGGCCAACUUCAGCGCCUGAGCGACAUUUCUGACCUAGUCUGCUCUCUCACUACUCCUCUCUGAGCGUCUGGAGCUGCGCGGAGCCUCUGCCCCGGUGCCUUUUGAAGAGUUGAGAUCUGCGAGGAGCUUCUGCAACCCCUACUUCUCCAGAAUACAGCGAGAGGAAGAAUGAGCGAGAUGGAAGCAGAGAGAUACACCAGUCAGCGGUGGCGUCUUACCGAAGAUCAGACCCAGAUGAUGACCAGAAUCUACAACUUUGGGGUCACACACCCAAGCAGAGCGCAAGUUGUCGAGAUCACGUCUCGACUAAGGAUCUUCGGAGAUGCCAGCGAAUACAACGUGCACUGCUGGUUCAACAAUCACGGCAAUCGGGUCAGGCGCUGGCAAGCGGAGAUAGACCCUACUGGCACUCAGUUUUCGCAACUGCCACUAUAUAUGUACGAUUAUGACUGGGUGAUUAUGAGGGCACCGAGGCUGCUGAAUCUGUUUCCCGUUCCGAUCAUCAUCGACGACGAUAGGGACGUACGACAAAUCCCGCCACCCAUGCUUCUCACAUUCCGAACCAGAGCUCCCUCAACGGAGCUCUCCCUGAGACCUCCACAACCAGCUCGAGAAUUCUUUCGUUGAAUUUUACUUUUUUAUGUUAUUUUUUUUUAUGUUUUGGCUGGCCGAGUGUGGCCAGAAUUUGAACAAGGCAUGUAAUCUGAACACUUAAUUUUUUUUUUUUAUGCUUUUAUGUUUUUAUGUUUUUUUAUGUUUUUUUUUCUUUUUUAAUGGUCUGUAAUAUUUAACGAUCAGAAAUGAUCGAACCCUGAACAUCUUUAUUAUGUUUUUAUGUAUUUUAUUUUAUCAGCAGUGUAAGACAAA